AAUGAACGCUGGCGGCGUGCCUAACACAUGCAAGUCGAACGAGAACGCCUGGCUUGCCAGGCAAGUAAAGUGGCGCACGGGUGAGUAACGCGUGGAUAAUCUACCUUUGUCUGGGGGAUAACCUACCGAAAGGUGGGCUAAUACCGCAUAAUGUGAUCGAGUUGCGACUUGAUCACCAAAGAUGGCCUCUCCAUGGAAGCUAUCAGGUAAAGAUGAGUCCGCGUCCCAUUAGCUAGUUGGUAAGGUAAAAGCUUACCAAGGCGACGAUGGGUAGCUGGUCUGAGAGGAUGGCCAGCCACACUGGAACUGGAACACGGUCCAGACACCUACGGGAGGCAG
rnacentral:rRNA from 1 species